rnacentral:lncRNA from 1 species
AGUGGCGGCGGGCCCGCGCGGUGCCAGCGACUAGCAGAGAGAUGUCUUGGCCCCUUCCAGGUUUGGAGAUGGCCUUGGGGGAGCAACCUCCGGACCUCAGCAGUGUGAGGAUGACGACAACAGUACCCUGGGGUGCUGUCCCCACUCAGGUUGGGUGCCAUCCCUGCUGAUGGAGAGAGGCUGAAGUCUGUCAGAGAAGAUAGUGCCGGCAGCUACUUAGCUGGUAUUAAUUGUAUCUGCAGAGUAGGGGGUUUCUCUGUGUAGCCCUGACUGUCCUGCAACUCACUCUGCAGACCAGGCUGGCCUCGAACUCAGAGAUCUACCUGCCUUUGCCUCUGGAGUACUGGGAUUAAAGAUGCAGAGGCCUCCCAGUGAAGUGUGAAGGGAUGGGCCUUAACCAGGGUUGAAGAAAGAAAGUGAAGAAGGGGAGAGCCCAAGGAAAGGUGGGGACAGUUGGAACUUCUGAUUACACUCUUCUGGUCUACUUCUCAUGUAUCAUAUGCUAUAAUCUCCAAAUUCCAUAUUUAUUGUAGCAGUCUGCGGUGUGUAUGCCCCGGCCGCAUGCUGCUUGGCUAAAAAAGUGUUAAAUAAAACUGUAAGAAACGAU